CUUAACCCACUGAGCAGCAAGUCUUGCUGCCGUAUACACCAACUGUUCCAGUAUGUUCUUUUUCUACAAUACAUUGCAAAGCAGCUGUUUCUGGAAAGUCGGCUCGGGUCCUGCUAGCUCCACCUUGAGAACACUGGGAGUAUGGGCUUACAGCAGAAGAGGAAAGUGGUGAGGUCACCAGCCGAGGAGUGGAUGGGGAGAAGAGAGAACGGAAACUCAUUGAGAAAUACAUUGUGUCAGCUGGGAAACCGGACAGGGUCAUUGGCCACCAGGCCACGAGGACAAAGGGAGCAGAAUCGAUGAACAGGAUUUCAGAUGGCCGGAAAAGAAAAAAGGCAGGAAGUAACACAACAAGCUCAGAAGAAAGUCUCGCCAACAGAUGGAAUGAAAUGGAAGAGAAAAUGUCAAGUCUUGAAGACAAAGUAGAAAAAUGGAUCGAUCAUCCAAAGACUAUGUGAACUAUAAAUUAAAAAUCUAGGCAUUCAGGGAAUCUGGGACAGUAUGAAGAGACCAAAUCUAUGAAUAAUUGAUAUAGAGGAAGGAGAAGAAACUCAAGUGAAAGCCACAGAAAAUAUCUUUUAACAAAAAUCAUAGAAUAAAAAAUUUCAAAUCUA
rnacentral:lncRNA from 1 species